rnacentral:rRNA from 1 species
UACGUAGGGGGCAAGCGUUGUCCGGAUUUAUUGGGCGUAAAGAGCGUGUAGGCGGCCUGACAGGUCUGCUGUGAAAACUCGAGGCUCAACCUCGAGACGCCGGUGGAAACCGUAAGGCUAGAGUCCGGAAGAGGAGAGUGGAAUUCCUGGUGUAGCGGUGAAAUGCGCAGAUAUCAGGAAGAACACCUAUGGCGAAGGCAGCUCUCUGGGACGGUACUGACGCUGAGACGCGAAAGCGUGGGGAGCGAACAGG